rnacentral:rRNA from 1 species
AGUGAACGCUGGCGGUAGGCCUAACACAUGCAAGUCGAACGGCAGCACAGUAAGAGCUUGCUCUUACGGGUGGCGAGUGGCGGACGGGUGAGGAAUACAUCGGAAUCUACUUUUUCGUGGGGGAUAACGUAGGGAAACUUACGCUAAUACCGCAUACGACCUACGGGUGAAAGCAGGGGAUCUUCGGACCUUGCGCGAUUGAAUGAGCCGAUGUCGGAUUAGCUAGUUGGCGGGGUAAAGGCCCACAAAGGCGACGAUCCGUAGCUGGUCUGAGAGGAUGAUCAGCCAAACUGGAACUGAGACACGGUCCAGCCUCCUACAGGAGGCAGCAGUGGGGAAUAUUGGACAAUGGGCGCAAGCCUGAUCCAGCUAUACCGAGUGAGUGAAGAAGGCCUUCGGGUUGUAAAGCCCUUUUGUUGGGAAAGAAAAGCAGCAGGUUAAUACCCCGCUGUUCUGACGGUACCCAAAGAAUAAGCACCGGCUAACUUCGUG